CCUACGGGAGGCAGCAGUGGGGAAUAUUGCACAAUGGGCGAAAGCCUGAUGCAGCGACGCCGCGUGAGGGAUGACGGCCUUCGGGUUGUAAACCUCUUUCAGCAGGGAAGAAGCGAGAGUGACGGUACCUGCAGAAGAAGCGCCGGCUAACUACGUGCCAGCAGCCGCGGUAAUACGUAGGGCGCAAGCGUUGUCCGGAAUUAUUGGGCGUAAAGAGCUCGUAGGCGGCUUGUUGCGUCGGUUGUGAAAGCCCGGGGCUUAACCCCGGGUCUGCAGUCGAUACGGGCAGGCUAGAGUGUGGUAGGGGAGAUCGGAAUUCCUGGUGUAGCGGUGAAAUGCGCAGAUAUCAGGAGGAACACCGGUGGCGAAGGCGGAUCUCUGGGCCAUUACUGACGCUGAGGAGCGAAAGCGUGGGGAGCGAACAGGAUUAGAUACCCUGGUAGUCCACGCCGUAAACGUUGGGAACUAGGUGUUGGCGACAUUCCACGUCGUCGGUGCCGCAGCUACGACAUUAACGUUACCCGUCCGUCGGGAGGUACGGCCGCGACGGACGUAAACGUUAAAGUAGUAAGUUAGUACGGUUCGUUGUAGACGUUGCCGACGGACGACGACGAGGGAGGAGG
rnacentral:rRNA from 1 species